GGGGAUGUCUGAAAGUAUCAAGGUUAUUGUCUCUCUCUUUCUUGUGGUGUUAUUGGCUCUUGCAGCAACUCAGACAGAGUCAAGAUACAUAAAUUAUCAUGCCCUUCAUGGAGAUCACAGUUUGAUUUGUGAUAAAGCGAACCCAAGCACCUGCAAGAAGGAAGAAGCCAAUCCUUAUACCAGAGGAUGCGAGAUAAUCGAUCGUUGUCGUGGUCAAUCUCUAGGCCCAAAAAUGUGAAUCGACCAAGUAGAGUACCACCCUUGGUUAAUUUUACAAAUGAUAUCUCCAUUUAAAUAUUAGAUGAUUAAUUUCAUUCAUUAUUUAUUUAUACUCUGUAUUGGUUUGUAACUGAUUGUUACCCUAUCAUUUAUGAUCAUAUAAAACAAAUAUAUUUAUGUUAUCGUUUUAUGUUAGAAUAAAUGUUUAAUUUAUUCAAAAGAAAACAAACUUUUUUACCCAAGUGCCACUAAGUUUUCUAAAAAAUUAUCCACAAGCUUAAACCAGCUGCGUUCUUGAAAUCUCUCAUUUGAUAAAAGGAGAGACACCGAUUGCGAACAAGUUUCUCCAAAGAUUUGGCAAGAGAUGUCACUGUCGUAAGAGCUGCUCCUUGUCUUCUAUCGUUACGUUCUUUCCAUAGUACAUGAACUGAAGCUUGUAAUACAUACCGAGUGAGAAAACGUUGGAGAAAACUGUGUCUUUUAUCUAAGGAACAUAAUCCUCUUGUUUUCUGAUAUUCUCCCAUGUUCUUUUAGUACUGAAAACUGGUUUGUAUUUUUCCUCCUUGUAAUUCCAGAGAGAUUGAUCCUCCACAACUGAAAUUUAUCCCUUUGGUCAUCUAUAAGUGUUUCCAUCUCAUUAAAACGAUCCACUCGAUGCCUUCGUCUUCUUUGAUUAGGAACAGCCAUUGCAACAGUGGAUUUUAAAGGAAUUACCAUGUCAAUACAUUCCCACGCCCCGAACAGAUCAUACAGCCUUCCCAUUGUCGUCCACGAAUCAAGCCAGAUUGAGUCAUUCCUUCCAUCUCCAACUUUCAUCCUGUGAAACUAGUUUUUCAUAUCUCGGAACUUCAAUAAUUUUUGCCACAUCCAAGAUCCCACAGUUGUUGUUUCUCAAACAGACCAUAGGUAACCACGUUUUAGCAGGUAUACUUUAAUACAUUGAAACCAAAGGGACGAUGUCGGAGCAACAAUACGCCAAACCAACUAUAAACAACAUAGCUUGUUUAUUUCUUUUAAAGAACGUAGACCUACACCAAGCUCCACUAAGUUUUUUUUUUAAAAUUAUCCACAAGCUUAAACCAGAUACGUAAUUGAAAUCUCCCGUUUGACGAAAGGAGAGACACCGAUUGCGAACAAGUUUAUUCAAAGAUUUGGCAAGAGAUGUCGCUGUCAUAGGAGCUGCUCCAUGUUUUCUAUCAUUAUGUUCUUUCCAGAGCACAUGAACUGAAACUUGUAAUACAUACCGAGUGAGAAAACGUUGGGGAAAACUGUGUCUGCUAUCCAUGAAACAUAAUGCUCCUGUUUUCUGAUAAUAUCCCAUGUUCUUUUAGUUCUGAAUACUGUUUUGUAUUUGUCCCCCUUGUAUUUCCAGUGAGAUUGAUCCUCCACAACUGAAAUUUAUCCCUUUGAGCAUCUAUAAGUGUUUUCACCUCAUUAAAACGAUCCACAUGAUGCCUUCGUCUUCUUCGAUUAGCAACAGCCUUUGCGACAGUGAAUUUUAAAGGAAUUCCUAUACAAAGCUAUUCCCGCGCCAGUGGAAUUUAAAGGAUUUUGAUAUAGUUUAAUUGUUGAUUUUAAAUGAUAUCUCAAUUAUUUGGGCGAUUGUAACUAUUUAUUGUUGUUUUGAAUAUUUUUAUAUAUAGUAAUUAAUAAAAAUAUUAUUUAUUUAUUUUAAAAUUAGUUAAAUAAAAACAUAUACCCCCAGUUAAAUAAAAAACUGGCUCCACCACUGAUUGAACCUUGCUACCCAAAUAUGUGUUGGAUCCUUUUCCGGAUAUAGCUUCGAUCCGAACAUCAGUCAUGUCAUCCUCCUCCUCGCUAGGGGCGUAUUUGGAAAGAGAAAAAUGAAAUAUAGGGUUUGAGCCCCAUUUUUAAAGGUCUGCUUUUAAAAGGUUAUGUAGUUAACUUUUUUUAAAAACAUUUUACCAUUUCAUGCAAAGGAAAGAAGUGUGAUCCAAGAAUGAGAAAAUGAUAAUAAUAAUAAUAAAACAUAAUUAAAGUAGGACCUACAAUUAACAUAAAAAAAGAAAAAAAUAUUAUAUUUACAUAGACUUUUUAACUUUGUCUUUUCCUCUUUCUCCAUGACUCUUAAGCUUUUUCUGGUCUAUAAUAUUUGGGUAGGCUCCCAUUUUUUUCUUGCUUAUGGCCUCACUUUUUGCAGAGAUCCCCCUACUCACCGCCUUCCGGAACGCCUUUAAAAGUUGUUUUUCGACCUUUAAUCUUGAACAAGGAAAGCUAAUUAUAUCUGUCAUUGCUAAAGAUCCCUUAAUUUUAAGAAAACAUCAACCAGCUGAUCUAUAUACUAAAAGUAUCCGUUUACUAAAAAUUACAUGUUUACUAAUUUAUCACCAUCCCAAAAAUAACUAUUUGAAGCACAUCCACUAUCUUCUAUAUAAGUACCAAUAACCUCUUCUUCAAAACCAAACAGAGCAGAUACCAAAUACAAUUAAAUAUAUAAACACAAAAUAAUUGAGCUCCUAGUCGGGGUUUCUCUUAUAAAUUAUUUAUUUAUUUAAUUUGUUUGGAAAAUAAAAAUAACAAAUAAUUAAUAAUAAUAUGGGGAUGUCUGAAAGUAUCAAGGUUAUUGUCUCUCUCUUUCUUGUGGUGUUAUUGGCUCUUGCAGCAACUCAGACAGAGUCAAGAUACAUAAAUUAUCAUGCCCUUCAUGGAGAUCACAGUUUGAUUUGUGAUAAAGCGAACCCAAGCACCUGCAAGAAGGAAGAAGCCAAUCCUUAUACCAGAGGAUGCGAGAUAAUCGAUCGUUGUCGUGGUCAAUCUCUAGGCCCAAAAAUGUGAAUCGACCAAGUAGAGUACCACCCUUGGUUAAUUUUACAAAUGAUAUCUCCAUUUAAUAUUAGAUGAUUAAUUUCAUUCAUUAUUUAUUUAUACUCUGUAUUGGUUUGUAACUGAUUGUUACCCUAUCAUUUAUGAUCAUAUAAAACAAAUAUAUUUAUGUUAUCGUUUUAUGUUAGAAUAAAUGUUUAAUUUAUUCAAAAGAAAACAAACUUUUUUACCCAAGUGCCACUAAGUUUUCUAAAAAAUUAUCCACAAGCUUAAACCAGCUGCGUUCUUGAAAUCUCUCAUUUGAUAAAAGGAGAGACACCGAUUGCGAACAAGUUUCUCCAAAGAUUUGGCAAGAGAUGUCACUGUCGUAAGAGCUGCUCCUUGUCUUCUAUCAUUACGUUCUUUCCAUAGUACAUGAACUGAAGCUUGUAAUACAUACCGAGUGAGAAAACGUUGAAGAAAACUGUGUCAUUUAUCUAAGGAACAUAAUCCUCAUGUUUUCUGAUAUUCUCCCAUGUUCUUUUAGUACUGAAAACUGGUUUGUAUUUUUCCUCCUUGUAAUUCCAGAGAUUGAUCCUCCACAACUGAAAUUUAUCCCUUUGGUCAUCUAUAAGUGUUUCCAUCUCAUUAAACGAUCCACUCGAUGCCUUCGUUUUUUUUUAUUAGGAACAGCCAUUGCAACAGUGGAUUUUAAAGGAAUUACCAAGUCAAUACAUUCCCACGCCCCGAACAGAUCGUACAGCCUUCCCAUUGUCGUCCACGAAUCAAGCCAGAUUGAGUCAUUCCUUCCAUCUCCAACUUUCAUCCUGUGAAACUAGUUUUUCAUAUCUCGGAACUUCAAUAAUUUUUGCCACAUCCAAGAUCCCACAGUUGUUGUUUCUCAAACAGACCAUAGGUAACCACGUUUUAGCAGGUAUACUUUAAUACAUUGAAACCAAAGGGACGAUGUCGGAGCAACAAUACGCCAAACCAACUAUAAACAACAUAGCUUGUUUAUUUCUUUUAAAGAACGUAGACCUACACCAAGCUCCACUAAGUUUUUUUUUUAAAAUUAUCCACAAGCUUAAACCAGAUACGUAAUUGAAAUCUCCCGUUUGACGAAAGGAGAGACACCGAUUGCGAACAAGUUUAUUCAAAGAUUUGGCAAGAGAUGUCGCUGUCAUAGGAGCUGCUCCAUGUUUUCUAUCAUUAUGUUCUUUCCAGAGCACAUAAACUGAAACUUGUAAUACAUACCGAGUGAGAAAACGUUGGGGAAAACUGUGUCUGCUAUCCAUGAAACAUAAUGCUCCUGUUUUCUGAUAAUAUCCCAUGUUCUUUUAGUUCUGAAUACUGUUUUGUAUUUGUCCCCCUUGUAUUUCCAGUGAGAUUGAUCCUCCACAACUGAAAUUUAUCCCUUUGGCAUCUAUAAGUGUUUACACCUCAUUAAAACGAUCCACAUGAUGCCUUCGUCUUCUUCGAUUAGUAACAGCCUUUGCGACAGUGAAUUUUAAGGGAAUUCCUAUACAAAGCUAUUCCCGCGCCAGUGGAAUUUAAAGGAUUUUGAUAUAGUUUAAUUGUUGAUUUUAAAUGAUAUCUCAAUUAUUUGGGCGAUUGUAACUAUUUAUUGUUGUUUUGAAUAUUUUUAUAUAUAGUAAUUAAUAAAAAUAUUAUUUAUUUAUUUUAAAAUUAGUUAAAUAAAAACAUAUACCCCCAGCUAAAUAAAAAACUGGCUCCACCACUGAUUGAACCUUGCUACCCAAAUAUGUGUUGGAUCCUUUUCCGGAUAUAGCUUCGAUCCGAACAUCAGUCAUGUCAUCCUCCUCCUCGCUAGGGGCGUAUUUGGAAAGAGAAAAAUGAAAUAUAGGGUUUGAGCCUCAUUUUUAAAGGUCUGCUUUUAAAAGGUUACGCUUGAUUUGUUUAUCAUGUUUUAAACAUGAUAGUAAAAAUGUAGAAUUAGUAUAACCAAUAAAAAUGUACAACUAAUAUAACUAAUAAUAUUGUACAACAUGUUCAACUAUAAAAUUAGUACAACUGUACAAUUAGUGUAAUUGUACAACUAUCCCAUUGUCGUCCACGAAUCAAGCCAGAUUGAGACAUUCCUUCCAUCUCCAACUUUCAUCCUGUGAAACUAGUUUUUCAUAUCUCGGAACUUCAAUAGACAAGCUUAAACCAGAUGCGUAAUUGAAAUCUCCCGUUUGACGAAAGGAGAGACACCGAUUGCGAACAAGUUUAUUCAAAGAUUUGGCAAGAGAUGUCGCUGUCAUAGGAGCUGCUCCAUGUUUUCUAUCAUUAUGUUCUUUCCAGAGCACAUGAACUGAAACUUGUAAUACAUACCGAGUGAGAAAACGUUGGGGAAAACUGUGUCUGCUAUCCAUGAAACAUAAUGCUCCUGUUUUCUGAUAAUAUCCCAUGUUCUUUUAGUUCUGAAUACUGUUUUGUAUUUGUCCCCCUUGUAUUUCCAGUGAGAUUGAUCCUCCACAACUGAAAUUUAUCCCUUUGGUCAUCUAUAAGUGUUUCCAUCUCAUUAAAACGAUCCACUCGAUGCCUUCGUCUUCUUUGAUUAGGAACAGCCAUUGCAACAGUGGAUUUUAAGGAAUUACCAUGUCAAUACAUUCCCACGCCCCGAACAGAUCAUACAGCCUUCCCAUUGUCGUCCACGAAUCAAGCCAGAUUGAGACAUUCCUUCCAUCUCCAACUUUCAUCCUGUGAAACUAGUUUUUCAUAUCUCGGAACUUCAAUAGUUUUUGCCACAUCCAAGAUCCCACAGUUGUUGUUUCUCAAACAGACCAUAGAUAGCCACGUUUUAGCAGGUAUACUUUAAUACAUUGAAACCAAAGGGACGAUGUAGGAGUAACAUUACGCCAAACCAACUAUAAACAACAUAGCUUGUUUAUUUCUUUUAAAGAACGUAGACCUACACCAAGCUCCACUAAGUUUUUUUUAAAAAAUUAUCCACAAGCUUAAACCAGAUACGUAAUUGAAAUCCCCCGUUUGACGAAAGGAGAGACACCGAUUGCGAACAAGUUUAUUCAAAGAUUUGGCAAGAGAUGUCGCUGUCAUAGGAGCUGCUCCAUGUUUUCUAUCAUUAUGUUCUUUCCAGAGCACAUGAACUGAAACUUGUAAUACAUACCGAGUGAGAAAACGUUGGGGAAAACUGUGUCUGCUAUCCAUGAAACAUAAUGCUCCUGUUUUCUGAUAAUAUCCCAUGUUCUUUUAGUUCUGAAUACUGUUUUGUAUUUGUCCCCCUUGUAUUUCCAGUGAGAUUGAUCCUCCACAACUGAAAUUUAUCCCUUUGGCCAUCUAUAAGUGUUUUCACCUCAUUAAAACGAUCCACAUGAUGCCUUCGUCUUCUUCGAUUAGCAACAGCCUUUGCGACAGUGAAUUUUAAAGGAAUUCCUAUACAAAGCUAUUCCCGCGCCAGUGGAAUUUAAAGGAUUUUGAUAUAGUUUAAUUGUUGAUUUUAAAUGAUAUCUCAAUUAUUUGGGCGAUUGUAACUAUUUAUUGUUGUUUUGAAUAUUUUUAUAUAUAGUAAUUAAUAAAAAUAUUAUUUAUUUAUUUUAAAAUUAGUUAAAUAAAAACUUAUACCCCCAGUUAAAUAAAAAGCUGGUUCCACCACUUGUUUAACCUUGCAACCCAGAUAUAUGUUGGAUCCUUUUCCGGAUAUAGCUUCGAUCCGAACAUCAGUCAUGUCAUCCUCCUCAUCGCUAGGAGCGUAUUUGGAAAGAGAAAAAUGAAAUAUAGGAUUUGAGUCCUCAUUUUUAAAGGCAUGCUUUUAAAAGGUUAUGUAGUUAAUUUUUGAGAAAAAGACAAAAAUAGCACUAAAUCAAGUUUUUGUUCACAAACUAACACUCAAGGUCAAAAGUCACAAAAAUAACACUUAAUGUUUUAUCAAAAGUCACAAACUUAGGGUUUAGAGUUAAAGGGUAGGGUUUAGGAUUUAGGGUUUAGGGUUUAGGGUUUAGAGUUUAGGGUUUAGGGUUUAGAGUUUAGGGUUUAGGAUUUAAAUUUUAGGGUUUAGGGUUUAGAGUUUAGGGUUUAGGGUUUAGAGUUUAGAAUUUAGGGUUUAGGGUUUAGAGUUUAGGGUUUAGGGUUUAGGGUUUAGGGUUUAAGGUUUAGGGUUUAGAGUUUAGGGUUUAGGGUUUAGAGUUGAGAAAUGAGGUUUUGGGGAUAAAAUUUCAAAUUUUGAAAAAUAAAAAAAUUAAAAUUUUCUAAGGAUAAACUUAGAAAGGUGUUAUUUUGGUCAUUUUAGUUUUUGAGUGCUAUUUUUGUGAUAUAAAAUUAGAAAGUUGUUUGCCUAAAAAUUUUUUAAAAACAUUUUACCAUUUCAUGUAAAAAAAAACAAGUGCCAACCAAAAAUGAGAAAAUGAUAAUCAACACGAUAAUAGAGCAAGCUUCUCUCCUGCAAUUGACACAUAAGUAUUUUAGAUUCGGAGUGACAUGUCUUUAACUGAAAAAAUGGAUUGAUCAAUGAAAACAUUUGGUUUCUCCACAUCAUUGGAAUUGUGUUUGCACAUUCUUCUUCGUUCAUUCACCCUUACAAUCUUUGAGUUCUCUGAAGUUUGCAAAAGAAAAGUGAAAAUCAGAUGAAUUACUGCAAUCAGAUCAGUUUUCAUUGCAGAUCUGCUCUCUCAUGCCCUAACCGCCGCGUUUCUCUCUGUCAAGCAGAUCGACUCGAGCCUAGAGCCGAAUUGAGAGAUGGGUACCACCGCCUUUCUCACCAUGAAUAAAGAUCGAGUGGAGCCAAGAGUUGAAUUGCGAGCUGGGUUUUAGUUUGGUUGUGUCUCUGAGAUUUUAUUAGAAUUGUUAUCAGACUAAGAGGGAAAUCUAGAUCAUGAAAUUGGUUCGUCAUGUUGUUCGUUUUAAGUCUUAUUCUUUCCUCUACUUUAUACUGAGAAGUUUAUAUCUAUCUUCAUAUGCAAGUUGAUUCUUUGUUGUUUAGGUUCUAGCAUGCCGUACAAAUAUUUAAAUCAUCUUGGAGUAUAUUUCAGGUGGUGAACUGUUUAAUAAAAUUGUGAAUUAUCUUAGUUCUCGACUCAACUACUUCAGGUGAUGAUGAUCUUUGGAAGACAAUGUUUAUCAGUUGUUACAUGUUAUAGGUUCGUAAUGAAAGUCUUAGUGAAUCAGAAGCUAGGAAGUACUUUCACUAGCUUACCGAUGGAGUUGAUAGUAAAUGGGGUUUACCACAGAGAUCUAAAGGUAGUUUCUUUUGCUGACAAUCAACAAUCUUUUCAAACGAAAUCUGAUUUUGAUUGUUUCUACUGUCAAUUGCAGCCUAAAAAUCUUCUGCUACACUCUCAAGGAAAUCUCAAAAUAUCUGAUUUUGGGCUCAGUGCAUUACCAGAACAAGUAAUGGUGGUUCUCAGUUUAUUGUUUUGCUUUUUCAGAUUGAAUUUUUAUCAACUAAUUAUCUUACUUGUAUCUCAAGGGAGUUACCAUUCUAAAGACAACUUGUGGAACUCCAAAUUACGAUGCUCGUUAGGUAAGUCAAAUAUCACAAUGUUUUGAAAUAUAGUGAUGCUUAUUUGUUGUAGCUCAUAUGAUCUUCUCUGUUUUGGUUUAGAUUUUGAGUCAUAUGGGUUACAAAUGUGUUGUGUCAGAUGUAUGGUCCUAUGGGGUAAUCAUGUUCUGAGUCAUAAGGGUUACAAAUGAGCCUUAUGAUGAGAGAACGCCUCAUGUUCCAGAUCCUAUAUCGCAGGUUUGUAUGUUGUGUUUUAACUCAAGGAAGGAUACAUAUAUAUAUUCCUAAACACUGUUUUUUUUUUGUUUUUUCCUUGGAUUGUUUCACUGAUACUUACGUACCUGUUAGGACCAAUAAUAGCUUGAAGAUGGGGCUGAUGGUUACCUUCAGUCCAAAUUUUAUAAGUGAAGGUAAGAUGAGAAAUGAAGCUGUUGCAGACCAAAUCUAGAGGGAGUAUGUGCAUUUAAAUAGCAAAUGGUUACUGUUUUUUACCGCAUUGAACAGAUCAAGCAAGUUGCAUGGGCUAUAUCCCAAUUUAGAGGGAAGAGUAACACACACGUGCAUAACGUGUUAUUGGGGAGUUAUUGGGGAAAGCCAGCUGAUUCUAGAAUAUUGAGUGCCAAGCAACUGUUGGAGCUGUGUGAGACGAAUAAGAUUCCAUGCAUUCUGCUACCGAGAGAGGUAGAUAUGUCUUCCACUACAGCUGAAAAACACGUUUGUACCUUUGUACUUCUUAAUGUCAUGUGUUCCUCUUGGUUAAAAUAACUUUUUGGCUUUCUUAUAGAAGCAUGAUGAUUGGUGAUUUGGGUUUUGGGUUUCUUAAAUUUUUCUUUUUUUUCUUUUUGUCUGAUUAAAAAAAAAAAAAAUUAAAACGAAUCAAUCGCAGGCCGCCACGUGUCAGUGGGGUCCGCAAACAGUACAAUAACCCAAGUAAAGUCGACUAUUGUUUGGUGACUUCUCUCACCGGUUUUUGUGUGUUUUGUGGGUCCCCUUCCUGUAAGAAACUCCUAAACCCCCCCCCCCUCCCGAUAAACAUGGUCUAACUUUGUUAGUUUGGGAAAUUGUAAAAAACAAAUUAAAUUUUGAUAUAUAUCAAAUAUUCAAAUAGGCAAAUUUGUGUUCAAAAAAAUAUGUAAUCUUUUUAAACAAGAGGAUCUCAUUUUUAUCCCUUUGUGAAGAUUCCAGCAUCCAGUGAUGGUGAAGAGCGGCAGCUCUGACGUCGCUCUCCUCCACGUCUCGGUUCCGCUACAUAAUACCAACAAGAGUAAAGAUGAGAUGACUCUAUCACUCUAUGGACAACAGUGGUGGUGACGAUCGGAGACGAACACAGCGUCUUUUUUGCAUACAUGAACGGAGAGGAGGAUUUGAGGGACGAAAUCAUUUUACAAAAUAUAUUAUUUUAACAAAGGCUAAUUAUUUUACUACAAUAUUGAAUUUUAAAUUUGAAGUGAAGUGAAGGACAUUUACUACAAUGUUGAAUUUUAAAUUUGGUGAACCAGAAAAGCGUAGGAAAAGAAAUGAAUUGGACUUUUUUAUCCUUAACCUUAAACUCAAUUGAAAAAUAAAUAAAUAAUAAAGUAUAAGUAUAAAAUUGAUGUAAACAAAAAUUUAGCGUAUAUCAUUUAGUAAGAAGGAUAGAAUACGAAAUCAAAAUAAAGAUCAAAUACAUAAGUCUGGUUAUAAGGUGGCUGUCAAAAAAAAAUUAAGAAAAUGCUUAAGUUCUCUUUAUUGUUUUUAAUUAGAACUCUACAUUAUUUUUUUAUUUGAUCGAUACAAAAAGUAAAAAUAAGGAUUAAACUGAUUUUUUAAUAUAUAAAAAUGUAAAACUGAUAUUUUUAUUGAAACAAAAUUUAAAUACGAAAUACUUUUAUGGAAUGGAAAGAGGAUAGUAUUAGAGUCUUUUAGACCACAAACUGGAACCUAAAACCCAAAAAAAACAAUGAGAUUUUACACCACCAACUCGAGAGCAAAGGUGCGGAAAAAUUAACUUGGAAGCUAAUUUGUUAAAAAUUAGUAUCAAAUAAAUAAUUAUUAUACAAUAACCAAAAAAAAAAAAAUACAAGACAUGUCUAGAUUAUAAAUAUUUAGAUACAAAACUUAUAUUAAUAUAAUUAUUCAUUUAUAAAAUGAAAAUAUUUUAUAAAAUAAAAAAAUCCCGCAGCGUAGUGCGGAUAAUUACCUAGUAAUAAUAAAAUAUAACUAAAGUAGGACCUAUAAUUAACAUAAAAAAAAAGAGAAAAAAUAUUAUAUACAUAGACUUUUUCAACUUUGUCUUUUCCUCUUUCUCUAUGACUCUUAAGCUUUUUCUGGUCUAUAAUAUUUGGGUAGGCCCCCAUUUUUUUCUUGCUUAUGGUCUCACUUAUUGCAGAGAUCCCCCUACUCACCGCCUUCCGGAACGCCUUUAAAAGUUGUUUUUCGACCUUUAAUCUUGAACAAGGAAAGCUAAUUAUAUCUGUCAUUGCUAAAGAUCCCUUAAUUUUAAGAAAACAUCAACCUGCUGAUCUAUAUACUAAAAGUAUCCGUUUACUAAAAAUUACAUGUUUACUAAUUUAUCACCAUCCCAAAAAUAACUAUUUGAAGCACAUCCACUAUCUUCUAUAUAAGUACCAAUAACCUCUUCUUCAAAACCAAACAGAGCAGAUACCAAAUACAAUUAAAUAUAUAAACACAAAAUAAUUGAGCUCCUAGUCGGGGUUUCUCUUAUAAACUAUUUAUUUAUUUAAUUUGUUUGGAAAAUAAAAAUAACAAAUAAUUAAUAAUAAUAUGGGGAUGUCUGAAAGUAUCAAGGUUAUUGUCUCUCUCUUUCUUGUGGUGUUAUUGGCUCUUGCAGCAACUCAGACAGAGUCAAGAUACAUAAAUUAUCAUGCCCUUCAUGGAGAUCACAGUUUGAUUUGUGAUAAAGCGAACCCAAGCACCUGCAAGAAGGAAGAAGCCAAUCCUUAUACCAGAGGAUGCGAGAUAAUCGAUCGUUGUCGUGGUCAAUCUCUAGGCCCAAAAAUGUGAAUCGACCAAGUAGAGUACCACCCUUGGUUAAUUUUACAAAUGAUAUCUCCAUUUAAUAUUAGAUGAUUAAUUUCAUUCAUUAUUUAUUUAUACUCUGUAUUGGUUUGUAAUUGAUUGUUACCCUAUCAUUUAUGAUCAUAUAAAACAAAUAUAUUUAUGUUAUCUUUUUAUUUUUGAAUAUAUGUUUAAUUUAUUCAAAAGAAAACAAACUUUUUUACCCAAGUG
rnacentral:lncRNA from 1 species